GACGAACGCUGGCGGCGUGCUUAACACAUGCAAGUCGAACGGAAAGGCCCUGCUUUUGUGGGGUGCUCGAGUGGCGAACGGGUGAGUAACACGUGGGUAACCUGCCCUUGACUUUGGGAUAACUUCAGGAAACUGGGGCUAAUACCGGAUAGGAGCUCCUGCUGCAUGGUGGGGGUUGGAAAGUUGCGGCGGUUGGGGAUGGACUCGCGGCUUAUCAGCUUGUUGGUGGGGUAGUGGCUUACCAAGGCUUUGACGGGUAGCCGGCCUGAGAGGGUGACCGGCCACCAUGGGACUGAGAUACGGCCCAGACUCCUACUGGAGGCAGCAGUGGGGAAUAUUGCACAAUGGGCGGAAGCCUGAUGCAGCAACGCCGCGUGCGGGAUGACGGCCUGCGGGUUGUGAACCGCUUUCGCCUGUGACGAAGCGUGAGUGACGGUAAUGGGUAAAGAAGCACCGGCUAACUACGUG
rnacentral:rRNA from 1 species